GAUGAACGCUAGCGGCAGGCCUAAUACAUGCAAGUCGAACGGGUGGUCGCAAGACCACUAGUGGCGCACGUGUGCGUAACGCGUAACCAACCUGCCCCGAUCUGUGGGAUAGCCCGCCGAAAGGCGGAUUAAUACCGCAUAUACCCGCAGCCUGGCAUCAGGCAACGGGGAAAGAUUUAUUGGAUCGGGAUGUGGUUUCGUGACAUUAGCUAGUUGGCGGGGUAAGGGACCGCCAUGGCGACGAUGUCUAGGGGACCUGAGAGGGUGAACCCCCACACUGGCACUGGGAUCCGGGCCAGACGCCUACGAGAGGCAGGAGUAGGGAAGAUUGGGGCAUGAGCGAGAGCCUGACACAGCCAUGCCGCGUGGAGGAUGAAGGCAUUCUGGGUUGUAAACGGCUUUUCUCAGGGAAGAAAAAGAUAUUGAGAGGUAUACUGACGGUACCUGAGGAAUAAGCACCGGCUAACUCCGUG
rnacentral:rRNA from 1 species